rnacentral:rRNA from 1 species
GACGAACGCUGGCGGCGUGCUUAACACAUGCAAGUCGAACGGAAAGGCCUCUUUCGGGGGGUACUCGAGUGGCGAACGGGUGAGUAACACGUGAGUAACCUGCCCUUGACUUUGGGAUAACUUCAGGAAACUGGGACUAAUACCGGAUAGGAGCUCCUGCUGCAUGGUGGGGGUUGGAAAGUUUCGGCGGUUGGGGAUGGACUCGCGGCUUAUCAGCUUGUUGGUGGGGUAGUGGCUUACCAAGGCUUUGACGGGUAGCCGGCCUGAGAGGGUGACCGGCCACAUUGGGACUGAGAUACGGCCCAGACUCCUACGGGAGGCAGCAGUGGGGAAUAUUGCACAAUGGGUGGAAGCCUGAUGCAGCAACGCCGUGUGCGGGAUGACGGCCUUCGGGUUGGAAACCGCUUUCGCUCAUGACGAAGCUUUGUGUGACGGUAGUGGGUAAAGAAGCACCGGCUAACUACGUG